rnacentral:rRNA from 1 species
GUGCCAGCCGCCGCGGUAAUACGGAGGGUGCAAGCGUUGUUCGGAAUUACUGGGCGUAAAGCGCGCGUAGGCGGUUUGCUCAGUCAGAUGUGAAAGCCCUCGGCUUAACCGGGGACGUGCAUUUGAAACUGGCAGACUUGAGUAUUGGAGGGGGUGGUGGAAUUCCCGGUGUAGAGGUGAAAUUCGUAGAUAUCGGGAGGAAUACCGGUGGCGAAGGCGACCACCUGGCCAAAUACUGACGCUGAGGUGCGAAAGCGUGGGGAGCAAACAGGAUUAGAAACCCCCGUAGUCC